rnacentral:rRNA from 1 species
AGUAACGCGUAGGUAACCUACCUCAUAGCGGGGGAUAACUAUUGGAAACGAUAGCUAAUACCGCAUAAGAGAGACUAACGCAUGUUAGUAAUUUAAAAGGGGCAAUCGCUCCACUAUGAGAUGGACCUGCGUUGUAUUAGCUAGUUGGUGAGGUAAGGCUCACCAAGGCGACGAUACAUAGCCGACCUGAGAGGGUGAUCGGCCACACUGGGACUGAGACACGGCCCAG